GAGGAGCAGGAAAAGCAAGAAGAGCAAGAGGACCAGGAGGACCAGGAACACCAGGAGGAGGAGAAGGAGAAAUAAUGAGUGAUUGUGUCUACAUUUAUGGAAAGAGUUUGGUGGGGUACUAAUGUUGCAUCUUUGAAGAAAUGGGUACUCAAAGAAUUCCUCAUGUAGAGUCUCACUGUGCUGUCAUCUGAGACUUCAAGUUCAUUACUGAAUCCAUGCUUCCUCUUCGCAUCAUGAGAAGAUCACUACAGAAGCAUAUCACCACACUUAGCUAGUGGAGGAGGUCAGGACCGUUGCUAUGAAGAAAGGAAAUAGAGUUCUUUCAGAGAGGAAUAAUCAUGGAUCAGAUUUUUUGACUGUGGGAUUGGAACACUAUCCCUCAUUUGCAGCCCUGCCUUUCUGCUGGAGCUCUCAGUAAGGACCAGGUGCUUCCUGCAGAUUGACAACAAGCUGCUUCUUGGAGAAGAAGGAGUGCUCUGGAAAUUUGCAGAUGAAAGGGAAAAGAAAACGUCAUCAUGGUCAGGAACAGAGAUGACUAUCAUGUGUAACUACAACCCCCCAAUCCUGGAGAUUCAGGAGAAUCAGAAGUGAAAUGCUGAGGCCCUAUGUGAAGAUUGCUCUACUGCUACAAGCUGCUUCUUGGAGAGAGAGGAGUACUCUAGAUACCUGAAGAUGAAAAUAUAAAAAGAGAAACUCAGCUUGAUCAGGUAACUUGCUGUGGUUCUUCACAUGCUAUAAAUGAAUCUGCUCCUAUUUUCUGUGCAAGGUAUUUGUCAUUGCUUCUGGUCACUGCUUCAGCUUUACGAUCUAUCAUUCAGGAC